GGGGGCGUACUGGUUUCGACCGGAUUGUANGAGGUUCAGAUCGCGUGUCGUGGUUGGUCGGCAGGCCACGCUAAAAGUCGACCACAGCUUCAAUUGCCGAAGCUCAGUUUUCUCUGGCAGCUUAGUUAAGUUGCUCCGAGCGAUGGCCCCAGUCGGAAGGGCCUACCAAUCGGUCGCCAAAUCCGACUCGUUCUGUUUCAUCGCCUAGUACGGGCAGAACUAAAUUUGUUCCGGGCUGGUGAAGAGCACACCCUGUCGGCCGGGGGGGUUCUUCAUGAGAUUUAAAUUGACCGAAUACACACGUAGAAGUUUGUUCUGAAACGUCACGGGACGCGGGUUCGAUUCCCGCCGCCUCCACUU
rnacentral:tmRNA from 1 species